AGAUUGAGAGCUAACCGAACAAACCCUUACGUGGACCACUCAGUUCAUUUUCUUCUCACGCACAUCUCUCUCGCUCCCGUAGAGACACACAGUCGCCAUCGCUCAGCACAGCCGCCCAGCAACACCCUACUCGCCUCCUCGAUCGGGAAACCGCAUACGCCGCCUCCUCUCCCCUUUCCACCGAGCUAGAAACGGCUGGCACAAUAGUCUCUGCUAUUGAUGGCGCUGAAGACAGCCGCUGACCCUUCUUCCCCCCCGGCGACCUCUGAUCUUCUCCCUUCUCUAUAAAUCGCAAGCUACGCCCUCCGUGGUGCCGUUCCCCGCCUUCAUGUGCUCGCCCCACGCCUCCCCUUCCUGUUGCGCGCAAAGAACACGCCGCCGACAUCUAUCCUCAUCGACACUGGUGUUCUCGGCCACCUUCCACCGCCAGAGGACUGCUCUGAAGACCCACAUCGAUCUCCGUCGCCGGUAUCUAGCUCUGCAGCGCCGCCCGCCGCCAAGCCGAGCUCAACGCCGUUCUUUCCCUCUCCUAUUCGACGUUGCUGCGAGAAGCUGAUUUCGUGGUAGAGGACCUGAACUCGUUUGAGGAAGACCCACAAUAAAUGUUUGAGCAAG